AAUCAACGUAAAUGGAUUGAAGUUAACAAUCAAAAGACACAAAGCACCUGAAUGGAUUAAAUAACAAGACCUAAUAAUCUGCUGCCUCUGGAACCUCUUGGAAAAGGAUAUGAAACAAGAAGUCUCUGAAUUACAAGGCUAAUUUGAGGAAAAGUCAACAACAGUCCACGUAUCUUCAUAUGAGGGAUAUGCAGUUUACUCUGAAAGGAUUGCCCUCAAACAAAGUCUUCCAGUCUGAAGAUCAACAGCCUGUAAAUAAUCUGAAAUUAUGCAGAAAUGCUAUAAAUUUCAUAAUUACUCUGCUCUACAAUGUCAUUGGCUACAGGAUGGACCAACAGUUCACAGGUGGAAAUUCAGUGAGAAACUGAUCACUCACAGAAUAACAAGCGGAGAUUCACUGAGAAACUUUGGCUCACAGAAUCAUCCCAGAGAGUACUUCUCAAAGAGUGGUCCCAAACAGCAGUGACAUCAUCUGGGAUCUUGUUAGAAAUUCAAAUUAUCAGAUUCCCUUUCCGUUCUACUGGACCAGGAAUUGGUGAUUUUAAAAAGCCAUGCAUGGAAUUUGGAUGCAUGCCGGUUUUUGAGCACCACUGCUCCAGGGUAAUUUGUCUACUUGGAUGUAGAGAAGCCCAACUCUGAGCUCCUUCACUCUUAUCCUGUUGCAGCUACAACAAAAUGUCUAAUUUAUCUUCAACAGUUUGUGGUGGAAUAAUUUUAAAUAUUUGAUACAAAAUUAUUUUAAAUUUGAUUGCUAUUAUAUGCAAAGGAAUUUUGGUUUUAUCAUUUUGGAACUCUCAGGGAAAUAUUUUUCUAUAAAAAAAUAAAUGUAAACUUCCUUAGUUGUGAAGAAAGGAAUGAGGUUUUGAGAAACAGUGCCACAAAACCAGUGCGUGCUAAGAGUAGAGGAAAUCAAAUGGUUGUCUCACGAAGAAACGGUCAAAAACUUUCUAGGUUUUAGAUGUAAGAUUUAUGCUUUCAUAUAAAACUAAACUAUUUGUGGACAUUUAAAAAAGGUAUUUACCCUUAAUAUUUUCUAAUAAAGGUAUUUGCACAAAAUA